rnacentral:lncRNA from 1 species
UUGCAAAAGUCUCUAGACAAAGACAAUAUGUCUGUCACUAGAUGGAAAAACGACUAAUGACUGAAUAAUAUGUUUUUGAUAGGAAAAAGAAACCAUUUAAGGGAAGACUAUGAUUCAGUUUAUAUUUUGGUGGGUGGAAUCAAAUGACCAAUGUCUGAAGUAAAGACUAUUUUUUUGUUUUUGAUUAAAGUAAAGACUAAUUAAUUCUGUUUUUUUUUUCAGGUAUAUUGCUUCAGAGGUAUUCAAAACAUCAAAAUAUUAGAGAUUCUGAGAAGAUUUCAAAUGUAGCAGACUUCUCUGAUAGGUAUGUGCUUUUCAAACUUGCUUGUAAAUUAGUUUCUGAAAUUCACAAGCAUGAGAAACAUAUGUGAAAUCAAGAUUAUUUCACUUCCACUAGACGUGCGCUUGAAUAAGCAUCCAAAAUCUUAAGAUAUUUAUGUGUUAGCCUUUAUACUUAUGUGACAGCUUGAAGUAUAAAGGCCAAUAUUGAUUUUCUCAGGUAUGUGCUUCUCUUAUGGACACCCAAAAAGAUUUUAACGUUUAUAAAUCAUUGGUGAAGUAUGAAUUUAGUACCCUCGUUAUAGCGUAUAACUUUGCAUUUGAAUCAAUGUUGCUCA